rnacentral:rRNA from 1 species
AUACUUGUGAAAAUACCUUUUGAUAUAUACAUAUGUAUGUAUCAUUAAGGUAUGUAUUUGUUAGAUAUAAGAAUAAAAUAAAUAUAAUUGAAUUAUAACAAAGAAGAAACACAUAAAAUAUGUGUAUUAUCAAUCGAGUAUCUGACCUAUCAGCUUUUGAUGUUAGGGUAUUGACCUAACAUGGCUAUGACGGGUAACGGGGAAUUAGAGUUCGAUUCCGGAGAGGGAGCCUGAGAAAUAGCUACCACAUCUAAGGAAGGCAGCAGGCGCGUAAAUUACCCAAUUCUAAAAAAGAGAGGUAGUGACAAGAAAUAACAAUACAAUAUCGAAAAAUGAUUUUGUAAUUGGAAUGAUAGGAAUUUACAAGGUUCCUAGAGAAACAAUUGGAGGGCAAGUCUGGUGCCAGCAGCCGCGGUAAUUCCAGCUCCAAUAGCAUAUAUUAAAAUUGUUGCAGUUAAAACGUUCGUAGUUGAAUAUUAAAGAAUCCGAUGUUUCAUUUAAACUGGUUUGGGAAAACCAAAUAUAUUAUAUAUUUUGCUUUGUUCAAAAUAAGGUUUUCUAAUAAAUUAUGUUUUUAUCAGAUAUGACAGAAUCUUUUUUAAAAUCUCUUCAAUAUGCUUUUAUUGCUUUUGAGAGGUUUUGUUACUUUGAGUAAAAUUAAGUGUUCAUAACAGACGGGUAGUCAUGAUUGAGUUCAUUGUGUUUGAAUACUACAGCAUGGAAUAACAAAUAUGAAUAAGCUAAUUAUUUUUUUUUUUCAUUAUUUUUUUUGAUAUUCUUAUUAGCUUAGUUACGAUUAAUAGGAGUAGCUUUGGGGGCAUUCGUAUUCAGAUGUCAGAGGUGAAAUUCUAAGAUUUUCUGGAGACGGACUACUGCGAAAGCAUUUGCCUAAUAUAUUUCCAUUAAUCAAGAACGAAAGUUAAGGGAGUGAAGACGAUCAGAUACCGUCGUAAUCUUAACCAUAAACUAUACCGACUAGGUGUUGGAUGAAUAUAAAAAAUAUAUAAAUAUGUAGCAUUUCUUAGGGAAUGUUGAUUUUAUAUUAGAAUUGCUUCCUUCAGUACCUUAUGAGAAAUCAAAGUCUUUGGGUUCUGGGGCGAGUAUUCGCGCAAGCGAGAAAGUUAAAAGAAUUGACGGAAGGGCACCACCAGGCGUGGAGCUUGCGGCUUAAUUUGACUCAACACGGGAAAACUCACUAGUUUAAGACAAGAGUAGGAUUGACAGAUUAAUAGCUCUUUCUUGAUUUCUUGGAUGGUGAUGCAUGGCCGUUUUUAGUUCGUGAAUAUGAUUUGUCUGGUUAAUUCCGAUAACGAACGAGAUCUUAACCUGCUAAUUAGCGGUAAGUACACUAUAUUUUUAUUUGAAAUUGAAUAUAGGUAAUUAUACAUGUUUAUUCAGUGUUCAAAUUAGGAUAUUUUUUUAUUAAAAUAUUCUUUUCCCUGUUCUACUAUAAUAAUUUGUUUUUUUUUACUCUAUUUCUCUCUUCUUUUAAGAAUGUACUUGUUUGAUUAAAUAAAGCUUCUUAGAGGAACAGUGUGUAUCUAACACAAGGAAGUUUAAGGCAACAACAGGUCUGUGAUGUCCUUAGAUAAACUAGGCUGCACGCGUGCUACAAUGAUAUAUAUAACAAGUUGUUAAAAAUGUACUUAUAAAUAAGUGUGUACAGUUUUUCCUGUACUGAAAAGUAUAGGUAAUCUUUAUCAGUAUAUAUCGUAAUUGGGAUAGAUUAUUGCAAUUAUUAAUCUUGAACGAGGAAUGCCUAGUAAGCAUGAUUCAUUAGAUUGUGCUGACUACGUCCCUGCCCUUUGUACACACCGCCCGUCGCUCCUACCGAUUGAAAGAUAUGAUAAAUUGUUUGGAUAUGAAUUAAAAUAAUGAAAUUUUAUAUUUCUGAUUUUUUCUAGAAGAACUGUAAAUCCUAUCUUUUAAAGGAAGGAGAAGUCGUAACAAGGUUUCCGUAGGUGAACCUGCGGAAG